rnacentral:rRNA from 1 species
GAUGAACGCUGGCGGCGUGCCUAAUACAUGCAAGUCGAGCGAAUGGAUUAAGAGCUUGCUCUUAUGAAGUUAGCGGCGGACGGGUGAGUAACACGUGGGUAACCUGCCCAUAAGACUGGGAUAACUCCGGGAAACCGGGGCUAAUACCGGAUAACAUUUUGAACCGCAUGGUUCGAAAUUGACAGGCGGCUUCGGCUGUCACUUAUGGAUGGACCCGCGUCGCAUUUGCUAGUUGGUGAGGUAACGGCUCACCAAGGCAACGAUGCGUAGCCGACCUGAGAGGGUGAUCGGCCACACUGGGACUGAGACACGGCCCAGACUCCUACGGGAGGCAGCAGUAGGGAAUCUUCCGCAAUGGACGAAAGUCUGACGGAGCAACGCCGCGUGAGUGAUGAAGGCUUUCGGGUCGUAAAACUCUGUUGUUAGGGAAGAACAAGUGCUAGUUGAAUAAGCUGACACCUUGACGGUACCUAACCAGAAAGCCACGGCUAACUACGUGCCAGCCGCCGCUGUAA